rnacentral:rRNA from 1 species
GACGAACGCUGGCGGCGUGCUUAACACAUGCAAGUCGAACGAUGAAGCCGGAGCUUGCUCUGGUGAAUUAGUGGCGAACGGGUGAGUAACACGUGAGUAACCUGCCCAUGACUCUGGGAUAACUGCUAGAAAUGGUAGCUAAUACCGGAUACGACCCCCGGUGGCAUCACCAGGGGGUGGAAAGAAUUUCGGUCAAGGAUGGACUCGCGGCCUAUCAGCUAGUUGGUGAGGUAACGGCUCACCAAGGCGACGACGGGUAGCCGGCCUGAGAGGGUGACCGGCCACACUGGGACUGAGAUACGGCCCAGACUCCUACGGGAGGCAGCAGUGGGGAAUAUUGCACAAUGGGCGCAAGCCUGAUGCAGCGACGCCGCGUGAGGGAUGACGGCCUUCGGGUUGUAAACCUCUUUCAGCAUCGACGAAGCGAAAGUGACGGUAGGUGCAGAAGAAGGACCGGCCAACUACGUGCCAGCCGCCGCGGUAA